rnacentral:rRNA from 1 species
GACGAACGCUGGCGGCGUGCUUAACACAUGCAAGUCGAACGGAAAGGCCCUGCUUUUGUGGGGUGCUCGAGUGGCGAACGGGUGAGUAACACGUGAGUAACCUGCCCUUGACUUUGGGAUAACUUCAGGAAACUGGGGCUAAUACCGGAUAGGAGCUCCUGCUGCAUGGAGGGGGUUGGAAAGUUUCGGCGGUUGGGGAUGGACUCGCGGCUUAUCAGCUUGUUGGUGGGGUAGUGGCUUACCAAGGCUUUGACGGGUAGCCGGCCUGAGAGGGUGACCGGCCUCAUUGGGACUGAGAUACGGCCCAGACUCCUACGGGAGGCAGAAGUGGGGAGUAUUGCACAAUGGUCGGAAGCCGGAUGCGGCAACGCUGCGUGCGGGAUGACGGCCUUCGGGUUGUAAACCGCUUUCGCCUGUGACGAAGCUGGAGUGACGGUAAUGGGUAAAUAAGCACCGGCUAACUACGUG